rnacentral:rRNA from 1 species
AUGACUAGAAUAUAUGGCGAACCAAGUUGGGACCAUAAGGAAAGAACCUAUCGGAAUUUGAGGGACUUGCAUGCUCAGUCCAGCUUGCCGUGGGUUGUGUUAGGAGAUUUUAACGAGAUUUUAUACUCAUCGGAGAAGGAAGGGGGCGCUCCCCGUCAUCAAUCUCGACUUCAGGCAUUUCAAGAUGCCCUAUUGGACUGUAGGCUGGAAGACAUAGGGUACAAUGGCGACAAGUUUACAUGGUUCCGCGACGGUUUGCGAGAGAGACUUGAUCGGGCUGUUACCAAUGCAGAAUGGCUACUCCUUCACCCGCUUGCUGGUCUGAGUAACUUAGACAUGGCAAGUCCGAUCACCGUCCAGUUUUUCUUGAUACAGAAUAUCUGGCUGGUGUGGCAGAAGCUCGACCAAAGAAGGAACAGAAAUUUGAAGUACGAUGGUUAUCAGAGGAGUCGGUCAAUGAAAUUGUCAAUACGGCUUGGCAGAAGGCAUCACAUCGUGGUCUUUGUCCUACUGCCAUGGAUAAGAUCAAUGUGA